GCUUGUAUGGUGGAUGGCUCUUGUAGUAGGGCAUGAGACUCUUAAUCUCAGGAUUGGGGGUUCGAACCCCACAUUGGGCA